AUUGUAAGUGCUGGCUUGCAUUAAACAGCUUUACCCCUUCAUGAAGUCUUUGCUCAUGUUUGGGGGAUUGGGGAACUACACUCUGGGGAUUGCUAUAAUCACUAUACUCCCCUGAGUAUAAUCACUAGCUCUUCUAAGAGCUGCUCCUGCUAUGCUCUCUGGAGGAGGAGAGGUCUACCCACUGGGAGCUGGAUCCUGGUCUUGGAUCCAGGGUGGGUGGAGGACGGCGAGACCCCAACUAAGCUGCGGCGGUUCGUGGGGUCUACAGUGCUUAUGGUGUCUGGAGUUAUGGAGUGCUUGG